rnacentral:rRNA from 1 species
GAUGAACGCUGGCGGCGUGCCUAAUACAUGCAAGUCGAGCGAACAGACGAGGAGCUUGCUCCUCUGACGUUAGCGGCGGACGGGUGAGUAACACGUGGAUAACCUACCUAUAAGACUGGGAUAACUUCGGGAAACCGGAGCUAAUACCGGAUAAUAUAUUGAACCGCAUGGUUCAAUAGUGAAAGACGGUUUUGCUGUCACUUCUAGAUGGAUCCGCGCCGCAUUAGCUAGUUGGUAAGGUAACGGCUUACCAAGGCAACGAUGCGUAGCCGACCUGAGAGGGUGAUCGGCCACACUGGAACUGAGACACGGUCCAGACUCCUACGGGAGGCAGCAGUAGGGAAUCUUCCGCAAUGGGCGAAAGCCUGACGGAGCAACGCCGCGUGAGUGAUGAGGGUCUUCGGAUCGUAAAACCCUGUUAUUAGGGAAGAACAAAUGUGUAAGUAACUAUGCACGUCUUGACGGUACCUAAUCAGAAAGCCACGGCUAACUACGUG